AGAGUUUGAUCCUGGCUCAGGAUGAACGCUGGCGGCGUGCCUAACACAUGCAAGUCGAACGAAGCUUGACGGAUGAUUUCUUCGGAAUGAAACCAGAUAUGACUUAGUGGCGGACGGGUGAGUAACACGUGAGCAACCUGCCUUUCAGAGGGGGAUAACGGCUGGAAACGGUCGCUAAUACCGCAUGAUGUGUUCGGAUGGCAUCAUCUGAACAUCAAAGAUUUAUCGCUGAAAGAUGGGCUCGCGUCUGAUUAGAUAGUUGGUGGGGUAACGGCCUACCAAGUCUACGAUCAGUAGCCGGACUGAGAGGUUGAACGGCCACAUUGGGACUGAGAUACGGCCCAGACUCCUACGGGAGGCAGCAGUGGGGAAUAUUGGGCAAUGGGCGCAAGCCUGACCCAGCAACGCCGCGUGAAGGAAGAAGGCUUUCGGGUUGUAAACUUCUUUUACCAGGGACGAAGGACGUGACGGUACCUGGAGAAAAAGCCACGGCUAACUACGUGCCAGCAGCCGCGGUAAUACGUAGGUGGCAAGCGUUGUCCGGAUUUACUGGGUGUAAAGGGCGUGUAGCCGGGUCGGCAAGUCAGAUGUGAAAUCCACGGGCUUAACUCGUGAACUGCAUUUGAAACUGUUGAUCUUGAGUAUCGGAGAGGCAAUCGGAAUUCCUAGUGUAGCGGUGAAAUGCGUAGAUAUUAGGAGGAACACCAGUGGCGAAGGCGGCUUGCUGGGCUUUUACUGACGCUGAGGCUCGAAAGCGUGGGGAGCAAACAGGAUUAGAUACCCUGGUAGUCCACGCUGUAAACGAUGAAUACUAGGUGUGCGGGGACUGACCCCCUGCGUGCCGCAGUUAACACAAUAAGUAUUCCACCUGGGGAGUACGAUCGCAAGGUUGAAACUCAAAGGAAUUGACGGGGGCCCGCACAAGCGGUGGAUUAUGUGGUUUAAUUCGAAGCAACGCGAAGAACCUUACCAGGGCUUGACAUCCUACUAACGAGAUAGAGAUAUGUUAGGUGCCCUUCGGGGAAAGUA
rnacentral:rRNA from 1 species